AGGAAUAUUGGUCAAUGGGCGCGAGCCUGAACCAGCCAAGUAGCGUGAAGGAUGAAGGUCCUACGGAUUGUAAACUUCUUUUAUAAGGGAAUAAAGUCACCCACGUGUGGGUGUUUGUAUGUACCUUAUGAAUAAGCAUCGGCUAACUCCGUGCCAGCAGCCGCGGUAAUACGGAGGAUGCGAGCGUUAUCCGGAUUUAUUGGGUUUAAAGGGAGCGUAGACGGGUCGUUAAGUCAGCUGUGAAAGUUUGAGGCUCAACCUUAAAAUUGCAGUUGAUACUGGCGUCCUUGAGUACGGUUGAGGCAGGCGGAAUUCGUGGUGUAGCGGUGAAAUGCUUAGAUAUCACGAAGAACCCCGAUUGCGAAGGCAGCCUGCUAAACCGCCACUGACGUUGAGGCUCGAAAGUGUGGGUAUCAAACAGGAUUAGAUACCCUGGUAGUCCACACGGUAAACGAUGGAUACUCGCUGUUGGCGAUAGACUGUCAGCGGCUUAGCGAAAGCGUUAAGUAUCCCACCUGGGGAGUACGCCGGCAACGGUGAAACUCAAAGGAAUUGACGGGGGCCCGCACAAGCGGAGGAACAUGUGGUUUAAUUCGAUGAUACGCGAGGAACCUUACCCGGGCUUGAAUUGCAGACGAAUUGCUUGGAAACAGGCAAGCCGCAAGGCGUCUGUGAAGGUGCUGCAUGGUUGUCGUCAGCUCGUGCCGUGAGGUGUCGGCUUAAGUGCCAUAACGAGCGCAACCCUCGUGUCCAGUUACUAGCAGGUUAUGCUGAGGACUCUGGACAGACUGCCAUCGUAAGAUGUGAGGAAGGUGGGGAUGACGUCAAAUCAGCACGGCCCUUACGUCCGGGGCUACACACGUGUUACAAUGGGGGGUACAGCAGGCAGCUACCGGGCGACCGGAUGCCAAUCCCGAAAGCCUCUCUCAGUUCGGACUGGAGUCUGCAACCCGACUCCACGAAGCUGGAUUCGCUAGUAAUCGCGCAUCAGCCACGGCGCGGUGAAUACGUUCCCG
rnacentral:rRNA from 1 species